rnacentral:rRNA from 1 species
UACGUAGGCAGCAAGCGUUGUUCGGAAUUACUGGGCGUAAAGAGUGUGUAGGCGGUGCUCUAAGUCUGUUGUGAAAUCUCCCGGCUUAACUGGGAGGGUGCGGCGGAGACUGGAGUGCUAGAGUGUGGGAGAGGUAAGCGGAAUUCCUGGUGUAGCGGUGAAAUGCGUAGAUAUCAGGAGGAACACCGAUGGCGAAGGCAGUUCUCUGGGCCGUAACUGACGCUGAGACGCGAAAGCGUGGGGAGCGAACAGG